CUAAUACCGGAUAUCCCCAUCGGGUCACAUGGCCCAAUGAGGAAAUGGAUUCCGCUUCGGGAGGGGCUCGCGGCCUAUCAGCUUGUUGGUGGGGUAACGGCCUACCAAGGCGACGACGGGUAGCUGGUCUGAGAGGACGAUCAGCCACACUGGGACUGAGACACGGCCCAGACUCCUACGGGAGGCAGCAGUGGGGAAUCUUGCGCAAUGGGCGAAAGCCUGACGCAGCAACGCCGCGUGAGGGAUGAAGGCCUUCGGGUUGUAAACCUCUUUCGAGCAGGGACGAUAAUGACGGUACCUGCAGAAGAAGCUCCGGCCAACUACGUGCCAGCAGCCGCGGUAAUACGUAGGGAGCGAGCGUUGUCCGGAUUCAUUGGGCGUAAAGAGCUCGUAGGCGGCUUGAUAAGUCGGAUGUGAAACCUCCAGGCUCAACCUGGAGUCGCCAUCCGAUACUGUCAUGGCUAGAGUCCGGUAGGGGCCCACGGAACUCCUGGUGUAGCGGUGAAAUGCGCAGAUAUCAGGAAGAACACCGGUGGCGAAGGCGGUGGGCUGGGCCGGCACCGACGCUGAGGAGCGAAAGCGUGGGGAGCGAACA
rnacentral:rRNA from 1 species